rnacentral:rRNA from 1 species
AGCCUUUAGCAAUAAAAGUAUUAAAGGUCCCGCCUGCCCAGUGAAAUUUUUUAACGGCCGCGGUAUUCUAACCGUGCAAAGGUAGCGUAAUCACUUGUCUUUUAAAUAAAGACCAGUAUGAAUGGCUAAAUGAGGAUGGCCCUGUCUCCUAUAAUUGGUCAGUGAAACUGAUCUCCCAGUACAAAAGCUGGGAUUACAACAUAAGACGAGAAGACCCUGUGGAGCUUAAAACCCAUAGCUACAACCACCCGAUUUAACUAGCACAUGGUUUUAAGUUGGGGCGACUUCGGAAUAAAAAAGAACUUCCGAGCACAGAACCAUAAAUUCUAAACAAGGCCAACAAGCCAAACAAUAAAUGACCCAGUCAUACUGAUUAACGGACCAAGUUACCCCAGGGAUAACAGCGCUAUCUUCUUCAAGAGUCCCUAUCGACAAGAAGGUUUACGACCUCGAUGUUGGAUCAGGACACCCAAAUGGUGUAGCCGCUAUUAAAGGUUCGUUUGUUCAACGAUUAACAGU